rnacentral:rRNA from 1 species
AAUAUUUCACAAUGGAGGGAACUCUGAUGCAGCAACGCCGCGUGAGUGAAGAAUUUUUUCGUAUCGUAAAACUCUUUCAUGUGGGAAGAAUAAAUAACGGUACCCAAGGAGUAAUCCCCGGCUAACUACGUGCUAGCAGCCGCGGUAAUACGUAGGGGGCGAUCGUUGUCCGGAAUUAAUGGGCGUAAAGGGUACGUAGGCGGCUAUAUAAGUCAGGUGUGAAAUACCAGUGCUUAACACUGGAAUUGCAUUUGAAACUGUGUAGCUUGAGUGCAGGAGAGGAAAGUGGAAUUCCUAGUGUAGCGGUGAAAUGCGUAGAGAUUAGGAGGAACACCAGUGGCGAAGGCGGCUCACUGGUCCAUUACUGACGCUGAGGUGCGAAAGCGUGGGGAGCAAACA